GGUGGGGAUAAAGCUCAGUUGGUAGAGUGCUGCCUCUCAUGCACAAGGUCUGGGUUCAAUCCCCAGCACCACCA
rnacentral:tRNA from 1 species